rnacentral:precursor_RNA from 9 species
CUGACAAAAUUAAAAGAGUUUGUACCGACGAGGGAGUACACACUUGCCUCAUGUUGUGUAAGAGGGUGAGACAGUGUGUCCUCCUUCAGCGUGACAACAGCGCCAUCUGGUAGAAUAA